UUUUUGGAGAGUUUGAUCUUGGCUCAGGACGAACGCUGGCGGCGUGCCUAAUACAUGCAAGUCGAGCGCGGGAAGCAAGUGAUCGCCCUUCGGGGCGUGAACUUGUGGAACGAGCGGCGGACGGGUGAGUAACACGUGGGCAACCUGCCUGUAAGACUGGGAUAACUCGCGGAAACGUG
rnacentral:rRNA from 1 species